GGACUUUGGUAUGACGCUACGUCCGCUGGAUUAUGCCUGAACGCCUCUAAGGUCGUAUCCAAUCCGAGCUGAUAGCGCUUCUCAAACCCAUUAGGUGUUCGGAAGCUAGCGGGCCUAACAACCCUACGAGAUCCGUUGGAGCUUGCUUUUGCAGCCCGGCGUCUCAUCCCGCUUAACCUAGGCCGCAUUGUGCGGAGUGCGCUGCACGCGCUAGUACCUGACUACAGGGAACACCGGUGGCUUGCGCUCUGCCGAUCGUGGACAGACCUAGUUUCGACCCCUACCCGACCGCCCGCACACGACGGGACUACAGGCUGGGAGCUGCGAGUUGUAGAGAUGCGUUCGCAUCGAUCCUCUCAGGCGACCCACGCUUGGUGGUUUGU
rnacentral:ncRNA from 1 species